UAGCUUGCUAUAAUUCUCUAGUGGCGCACGGGUGAGUAACACGUGAGUAACCUGCCCCCAAGAGUGGGAUAGCCCCGGGAAACUGGGAUUAAUACCGCAUAAAAUCGCAAGAUUAAAGCAGCAAUGCGCUUGGGGAUGGGCUCGCGUCCUAUUAGUUAGUUGGUGAGGUAACGGCUCACCAAGGCGAUGACGGGUAGCCGGUCUGAGAGGAUGUCCGGCCACACUGGAACUGAGACACGGUCCAGACACCUACGGGUGGCAGCAGUCGAGAAUCAUUCACAAUGGGGGAAACCCUGAUGGUGCGACGCCGCGUGGGGGAAUGAAGGUCUUCGGAUUGUAAACCCCUGUCAUGUGGGAGCAAAUUAAAAAGAUAGUACCACAAGAGGAAGAGACGGCUAACUCUGUGCCAGCAGCCGCGGUAAUACAGAGGUCUCAAGCGUUGUUCGGAAUCACUGGGCGUAAAGCGUGCGUAGGCGGUUUCGUAAGUCGUGUGUGAAAGGCGGGGGCUCAACCCCCGGACUGCACAUGAUACUGCGAGACUAGAGUAAUGGAGGGGGAACCGGAAUUCUCGGUGUAGCAGUGAAAUGCGUAGAUAUCGAGAGGAACACUCGUGGCGAAGGCGGGUUCCUGGACAUUAACUGACGCUGAGGCACGAAGGCCAGGGGAGCGAAAGGGAUUAGAUACCCCUGUAGUCCUGGCAGUAAACGGUGCACGCUUGGUGUGCGGGGAAUCGACCCCCUGCGUGCCCGAGCUAACGCGUUAAGCGU
rnacentral:rRNA from 1 species